AAGUUCAAGUGUUAUAUUCACCAUGUGGCUAUAGUGAACUGGUGUGUAUUUUUGAAAUAGCUGAUCUACUUUUGAUAUGAGCCCUUGCUAUCUCACUUCAUGCAAAAGGAUAAAAUGAAUAAAAAAUUAAGAUGACAAGACAAAUUUUGUGAAUUUUCUGAUUCUCUAUUCUGAUUAUAAGUGUAGUGGCAUAUUCAUGCCAGAAAUGGAAGGUAACUGGCUGGGCCAGAUCAUCUCCCCAGAGUCUUUUUGCAGAAGACAAUUCAGAGAAACUAAUCUAGAUUUUUUUUUUUUUUUUUAAUUAUUCCCUGGAGAAACCUCUGUCUCUCUGUUGACUGGGCACCCAUGCUGGAGGCAUUUGAGUUUGACAGACCAUCUUGGGACAGUGAAGUCCUUUGUAAAAGCAUUUUAAAAUGUUCUAUUUCCUCCUUUGAAGAAAGAAAAAAAUAAAAUUCAGAUGUGAGACUGUGUCACCAGCAGGACACAAUUUGGCAGUACAGGUCACCAGGAAUGUACAGUUUUGACUGUGCUGUCAGAUUGGUGAGCCCAGGCUGGGAUUCUGUGGGCUGUCC
rnacentral:lncRNA from 1 species